rnacentral:rRNA from 1 species
GGGACAACAUUCGGAAACGGAUGCUAAUACCCCAUAGGUGGAUUGGUCGCAUGACGAAUUCAUUAAAGGUGGCUUUGCUACCACUCAUGGAUAGCCUCGCGGCGUAUUAGCUAGUUGGUAAGGUAAUGGCUUACCAAGGCAGUGAUACGUAGCCGACUCGAGAGGGUGAUCGGCCACACUGGGACUGAGACACGGCCCAG